rnacentral:rRNA from 1 species
UAGGGAAUCUUCGGCAAUGGACGGAAGUCUGACCGAGCAACGCCGCGUGAGUGAAGAAGGUUUUCGGAUCGUAAAGCUCUGUUGCAAGAGAAGAACGAGUGUGAGAGUGGAAAGUUCACACUGUGACGGUAUCUUACCAGAAAGGGACGGCUAACUACGUGCCAGCAGCCGCGGUAAUACGUAGGUCCCGAGCGUUGUCCGGAUUUAUUGGGCGUAAAGCGAGCGCAGGCGGUUAGAUAAGUCUGAAGUUAAAGGCUGUGGCUUAACCAUAGUACGCUUUGGAAACUGUUUAACUUGAGUGCAGAAGGGGAGAGUGGAAUUCCAUGUGUAGCGGUGAAAUGCGUAGAUAUAUGGAGGAACACCGGUGGCGAAAGCGGCUCUCUGGUCUGUAACUGACGCUGAGGCUCGAAAGCGUGGGGAGCAAACAGG